AUUGAACGCUGGCGGCAGGCCUAACACAUGCAAGUCGAACGAGUGGCGGACGGGUGAGUAAUGUCUGGGAAACUGCCUGAUGGCGGGGGAUAACUACUGGAAACGGUAGCUAAUACCGCAUACCAUCAAAUGGGCCCAGAUGGGAUUAGCUAGUUGGUGGGGUAACGGCUCAACAAGGCGACGAUCCCUAGCUGGUCUGAGAGGAUGACCGGCCACACUGGAACUUAGCCACGGUCCAGACUCCUACGGUAGGCAGCGGUGGGGAAUAUUGCACAAGGGGCGCAAGCCUGAUGCAGUCAUGCCGCGUGUAUGAAGAAGGCCUUCGGGUUGUAAAGUACUUUCAGCGGGGAGGCGUUACCCGCAGAAGAAGCGCCGGCUAACUCCGUGCCAGCCGCCGCGGUAAUAC
rnacentral:rRNA from 1 species